UACGGGGGGGGCAAGCGUUGUUCGGAAUUACUGGGCGUAAAGGGCGUGUAGGCGGGAAGGAUAGUCAGAUGUGAAAGCCCUGGGCUCAACCCAGGAAGUGCACUCGAAACUGGCAGGCUAGAGUACUGGAGAGGUUGGUGGAAUUCUCGGUGUAGAGGUGAAAUUCGUAGAUAUCGAGAGGAACACCGGUGGCGAAGGCGGCCAACUGGACAGAUACUGACGCUGAGACACGAAAGCGUGGGGAGCAAACAGG
rnacentral:rRNA from 1 species